rnacentral:lncRNA from 1 species
UGACAAUAAUUUUUUAUUACUAUUAUUAUUUUAUGUAUUUAUUUUUUAAAGUAUCAUUCUUUGAAUUUAUUUCUUUAUACAUUUAAUUUCAUUUAUAAUUUAUUGACCUGUAUUCAGAUUUUUUUUUUACAUGUUUUCAUCUGAAACAUUCAAGUUCAAACAAACAUUUAUUUUGUGUGUGUUCUUUACAAUUGAGAUCAGUGCUAGACUCCAACUGCCCCCCCCCCCCCCUCCUCUGUUCUAGAGUCAGAUGUACGUGGGCUGCUUGGUUCAGUACAUUCCUCUUCAUUGGAAGCAGUUUGAAGAACACAACAUGCUCUGCUGUUCCAUCCUCACUACCCUCAUCCAUCUCGUAUGGGUGCGACAUGCCCGAGGGGCCAGGAAUGAAACCGGUCUGGGAGCAGAAAGCAAGAUUCCUUCCUCCUACCUGUUAUCCAGCUCAGCACAGAGGUUUCUCAGCCCCCUCAUGUUUACCUGCUGGAAGACGGUCUGGAGCUGUGCUCCUCAUCUGCUGAGGUCUGGGAUGAGAGGCUCCUGCCACGGCCCUCCUGCUGACUACACUACUGUCUUUCUCUGAAUCUGGAGCAGGUGUGUGAUGCUGAGCUGGUUUUCUGUGGCACUCCCAUUUGCUUUCUGUUACAGUGAAAUAGCUUUAGUAGUACAUUUAGCUUUUAAAGGUGGAAAUUGGUCUGGGAUCACUUGCUAUAGAAAAC